UACGAAGGGGGCGAGCGUUGUCCGGAAUUAUUGGGCGUAAAGAGCUCGUAGGCGGUGUGUCACGUCGGCCGUGAAAACCUGCAGCUUAACUGUGGGCGUGCGGUCGAUACGGGCAUCACUGGAGUUCGGCAGGGGAGACUGGAAUUCCUGGUGUAGCGGUGAAAUGCGCAGAUAUCAGGAGGAACACCGGUGGCGAAGGCGGGUCUCUGGGCCGAUACUGACGCUGAGGAGCGAAAGCGUGGGGAGCAAACAGG
rnacentral:rRNA from 1 species